rnacentral:rRNA from 1 species
AUUGAACGCUGGCGGCAUGCCUUACACAUGCAAGUCGAACGGUAACAGGUCUUCGGAUGCUGACGAGUGGCGAACGGGUGAGUAAUACAUCGGAACGUGCCCGAGAGUGGGGGAUAACGAGGCGAAAGCUUUGCUAAUACCGCAUACGAUCUCAGGAUGAAAGCAGGGGACCGCAAGGCCUUGCGCUAACGGAGCGGCCGAUGGCCGAUUAGGUAGUUGGUGGGAUAAAAGCUUAACAAGCCGACGAUCUGUAGCUGGUCUGAGAGGACGACCAGCCACACUGGGACUGAGACACGGCCCAGACUCCUACGGGAGGCAGCAGUGGGGAAUUUUGGACAAUGGGCGCAAGCCUGAUCCAGCCAUGCCGCGUGCAGGAUGAAGGCCUUCGGGUUGUAAACUGCUUUUGUACGGAACGAAAAGACUCUGGUUAAUACCUGGGGUCCAUGACGGUACCGUAAGAAUAAGCACCGGCUAACUACGUGCCAGCAGCCGCAGUAACAC